rnacentral:rRNA from 1 species
UAUACGACCGUACCGCAAACCGACACUGGUGCGCGAGAUGAGUAUUCUAAGGCGCUUGAGAGAACUCAGGAGAAGGAACUCGGCAAAUUGACACCGUAACUUCGGAAGAAGGUGUGCCCUAUUAGUGUGUAGUGAACAACGAAGCAUGAAUGGGUUGCAAAAAAUCGGUGGCUGCGACUGUUUAUUAAAAACACAGCACUCUGCAAACACGAAAGUGGACGUAUAGGGUGUGACGCCUGCCCGGUGCUGGAAGAUUAAAUGAUGGGGUGCAAGCUCUUGAUUGAAGUCCCAGUAAACGGCGGCCGUAACUAUAACGGUCCUAAGGUAGCGAAAUUCCUUGUCGGGUAAGUUCCGACCUGCACGAAUGGCGUAACGAUGGCCACACUGUCUCCUCCUGAGACUCAGCGAAGUUGAAAUGUUUGUGAUGAUGCAAUCUCCCCGCGGAAAGACGGAAAGACCCCAUGAACCUUUACUGUAGCUUUGUAUUGGACUUUGAACAGAUCUGUGUAGGAUAGGUGGGAGGCUUUGAAGCAGGGUCGCUAGAUCUUGUGGAGCCAACGUUGAAAUACCACCCUGGUGUGUUUGAGGUUCUAACCUAGGUCCAUUAUCUGGAUCGGGGACAGUGCAUGGUAGGCAGUUUGACUGGGGCGGUCCCCUCCCAAAGCGUAACGGAGGAGUUCGAAGGUACGCUAGUUAUGGUCGGACAUCGUGACGAUAGUGCAAUGGCAUAAGCGUGCUUAACUGCGAGACUGACAAGUCGAGCAGAUGCGAAAGCAGGACAUAGUGAUCCGGUGGUUCUGUAUGGAAGGGCCAUCGCUCAACGGAUAAAAGGUACUCUGGGGAUAACAGGCUGAUACCGCCCAAGAGUUCAUAUCGACGGCGGUGUUUGGCACCUCGAUGUCGGCUCAUCUCAUCCUGGGGCUGUAGCCGGUCCCAAGGGUAUGGCUGUUCGCCAUUUAAAGAGGUACGUGAGCUGGGUUUAAAACGUCGUGAGACAGUUUGGUCCCUAUCUUCCGUGGGCGCUGCAGAUUUGAGGAAGCCUGCUCCUAGUACGAGAGGACCGGAGUGGACACACCUCUGGUGUAUCGGUUGUCACGCCAGUGGCAUUGCCGAGUAGCUAAGUGUGGAAGAGAUAACCGCUGAAAGCAUCUAAGCGGGAAACUCGUUUCAAGAUGAGAUCUGCCGGGGCCUUGAGCCCCCUAAAGAGUCGUUCAAGACCAGGACGUUGAUAGGUCAGGUGUGGAAGC